GUAUUCCUGAUUUUUACAUUUUUGAUUUGUUUUAUGACAAAGGGGAAGCUUUAUAAAAUAUAAUCCUUGCUUUACGAAAGCUGAUGAUUUAGUUCUCAUUUAAUCUGCUAGUUAUAUGAAAAUAAGAAAAUGUAGUAUGAUUGCUUAUGAGACAAAUCUCCACUACAGACCAAAUGACACAAAAAUUAACAACUAUUAGCAACGUUAUGGCCUUCAACAAUGAGUAAAAGCCGUAUUGGUAAGUCAGUUAAAAGAGGCCUCAAAUGAUAACAUUAAUUUAAACAAGAAAAUUGAUAAAGCUAAAGGCCUGAUAUGAGUGCAAAACAUUGAAUGAAAAACAUAUAAAAUGCACAGCAACAAACGACAACCACUGCAUUAUAGAUAAUGGCUUGGUAGAGAGACAUACCGAAUGGGGCGGGGUUAAACUAGCAAGAAGAUGUCAAAACCCUGCACUAACCUAGAAAAGUUGUGAAACAGUAUAAACUAAGGACAAACUUUAAAAAUCAGUUGAAUAUUUUUAAAACAUCGGUCGAUGCAAAGCAGAAAUACGUCUAACCAAAAAACAAAGUGGACGUGGCAGGGUACUUAAACAUUUUCAUAACAAUAUUAUUAAACAGUUAAUGAUAGCUAGUUCAAAGCAAAUAACAAAUAAUAAAACAAUCACGCAUCCAAGACUAGUACUUUAUAAUGGAGAUAUUUUAGAUAUCAAUCAUUUCGAGCCUCUCUCUUGGACUGUUUUGCGUUUCGUGCUUUUUCUUUUGUUCAGUCAAAAUUUAACCAAGGGAAAUUGAAAACAAUCCGUAUAUUUACGGAUCAGUCGACCAUACUGGUAUCUCAAAAGAGGGACGAAAGAUAUCAAAGGGACAGUCAUGCAAGUGUAGAGAUACCGGUACGUUGUAUCGUUGUAUCGUUUUUUGUUUCUUCUUAUAGUUGAUAUGUUUUCCUCGGUUUUAGUUUGAGACCCGUAUUUGUUUUCUCACAUUCGAUUUUGUUUUGUA
rnacentral:lncRNA from 1 species